rnacentral:rRNA from 1 species
AGCAGCCGCGGUAAUUCCAGCUCCAAUAGCGUAUAUUAAAGUUGUUGCAGUUAAAAAGCUCGUAGUUGAAUUUCGAGACCGGCUUACUGGUCGUGCUUUUGUGCGUACUGGUAUAAUCGGUUUCUCCUUUCUGACGAACUUUAAUGCCAUUAAUUUGGUGUUUUAGGGAAUCAGGACUGUUACUUUGAAAAAGUUAGAGUGUUUAAAGCAGGCUCACGCUUGAAUACAUUAGCAUGGAAUAACGGAAUAGGACGUUUGAUUCUAUUUUGUUGGUUUCUAGGAUCGACGUAAUGAUUAAUAGGGAUAGUCGGGGGCAUUAGUAUUCAAUUGUCAGAGGUGAAAUUCUUGGAUUUAUUGAAGACUAACUACUGCGAAAGCAUUUGCCAAGGAUGUUUUCAUUAAUCAAGAACGAAAGUUAGGGGAUCGAAGACGAUCAGAUACCGUCGUAGUCUUAACCAUAAACUAUGCCGACUAGGGAUCGGAUGAUGUUAAUUUUUUAAUGACUCA